GGGGAUGUAGCUCAGUGGUAGAGUACUUGCCUAUCAUGCAGGAAAAGUCAAUGGUUCAACCCCU
rnacentral:tRNA from 1 species